CCCAUUUUGGCAGAUUAUUGCAAAAGACUUAGAAUCUUACUAAUCUUAA
rnacentral:tRNA from 1 species